rnacentral:rRNA from 1 species
UAGGGAAUCUUCGGCAAUGGACGAAAGUCUGACCGAGCAACGCCGCGUGAGUGAAGAAGGUUUUCGGAUCGUAAAACUCUGUUGUUAGAGAAGAACAAGGACGUUAGUAACUGAACGUCCCCUGACGGUAUCUAACCAGAAAGCCACGGCUAACUACGUGCCAGCAGCCGCGGUAAUACGUAGGUGGCAAGCGUUGUCCGGAUUUAUUGGGCGUAAAGCGAGCGCAGGCGGUUUCUUAAGUCUGUUGUGAAAGCACCCGGAUCAACCGGGGAGGGUCCUUGGAAACUGGGAGACUUGAGUUCAGAAGAGGAGAGUGGAAUUCCAUGUGUAGCGGUGAAAUGCGUAGAUAUAUGGAGGAACACCAGCGGCGACUGCGGCUCUCUGGUCUGUAACUGACGCUGAGGCUCGAAAGCGUGGGGAGCAAACAGG